UACGUAGGGUGCAAGCGUUGUCCGGAAUUAUUGGGCGUAAAGGGCUCGUAGGCGGUCUGUCGCGUCGGUAGUGAAAACUCAGGGCUUAACCCUGAGCCUGCUUCCGAUACGGGCAGACUAGAGGUAUGCAGGGGAGAAUGGAAUUCCUGGUGUAGCGGUGAAAUGCGCAGAUAUCAGGAGGAACACCGAUGGCGAAGGCAGAUCUCUGGGCCGUUACUGACGCUGAGGAGCGAAAGCGUGGGGAGCGAACAGG
rnacentral:rRNA from 1 species